AUUAGAUACCCGGGUAGUCCCAGCUGUAAACGAUGCAGACUCGGUGAUGGACUAGCUUUAUGCUAGUCCAGUGCCGCAGGG
rnacentral:rRNA from 1 species